rnacentral:rRNA from 1 species
UUGGGGGGACCCGAUUUAAGCCAUGCUAGGUUGCCGAGUUCAAACUCGUAGCAUAUAGCUCAGUAACACGUGGCCAAACUACCCUACAGACCGCAAUAACCUCGGGAAACUGAGGCCAAUAGCGGAUAUAACUCUCAGGCUGGAGUGCCGAGAGUUAGAAACGUUCCGGCGCUGUAGGAUGUGGCUGCGGCCGAUUAGGUAGAUGGUGGGGUAACGGCCCACCAUGCCGAUAAUCGGUACAGGUUGUGAGAGCAAGAGCCUGGAGACGGUAUCUGAGACAAGAUA